CUCCUUCAUUUGGGAGGGGAGCUGGGAGGGUGGAAGCAGUGGUGGAGGUGUGUGCUGGGUGAAGAGCACCUGGUCCGAAGCAGCUGGACAGCAGACGAGGGAAAGGACGACGGGCUCGCCCUGCUCCUUGGUUCAGGAGGUCUGGUCAAGAACAGUGGGGCUCCUGCCCCGGGGCGAGUGGCCCCUGCUUCUGGAGAACCAGAACCUUUGAAAUGUCUAUCAGAACCUCGUGAGAAGACAGCGAUCGACUUGGAGCAGAAAUUUGAAGAACUAAAGCUGUGGUUGUUCCUGAGAGUUGAUGCCAAGACAACAGAUCCUGUAGGGGCCAAAGAAAAGUUUUCCUUUUGUUGUUUCCUUCCCACUGACUUCAAAGGCUUUUCAAAGGGAGGAGGAUUAGUGCUGUUCCUGAAUUGCCCUCCAAGGCAGGGAAAUUGCCUGGCACUUGUUUCACCUGGAGUUCCUUGCCCUUGAAACCUGCUAUGCCCCCAGGGUAUCGACUAUCAUAAAUGCUGCUGUGUCUCUUUUCUUCCCUAUUCUUGACAGGGACAAAAGUGAGGAUUGCAAAUAUCUAUUUGUUGUAGUCAUACCUCUUUCAAAGAAAGGUAAAAACAAGUGUUAUUGCCUUUGUGUUAGAAUUGUGGGUCCAAAAUCUUUCUUUCCCCUGACCAGCUCCUUUGCCUGCUCUGCAGUAGGAGAGAAAUGCAAAAUGACACUGCCCUUGACUUCCUUGCGGGGUCCAUCUGUGCAGAUAGUUGGG
rnacentral:lncRNA from 1 species